UACGUAGGGUGCGAGCGUUGUCCGGAAUUACUGGGCGUAAAGAGCUCGUAGGUGGUUUGUCGCGUUGUUCGUGAAAACCUGAGGCUUAACCUUGGGCGUGCGGGCGAUACGGGCAGACUGGAGUACUGCAGGGGAGACUGGAAUUCCGGGUGUAGUGGUGAAAUGCGUAGAGAUCCGGAGGAACACCAGAGGCGAAGGCGGCAACCUGGCUCGUAACUGACGCUCAUACACGACAGCAUGGGGAGCGAACGGG
rnacentral:rRNA from 1 species